UCAGGCGUGCUGCCUGGGAGGAUGCGCUCUGCCUCUUCCUCGCAAAGCAAAAGGAACAUGUGCAGUGCGGAGGACGGCUGCUGGGCAACGAUACCUGCACCUGGUGCUCUACCCAGCAUGGACCGUCAAGUUGCUGGGAUUGGUGGUGGGUGUGUCUCCAUCUGCUAAUACAUUGGUCAUACCUUGGUAUAUAUGCUUGGCACUAUUUGGAGUCAAAAUUACGAACGUCCACUGCCGAUCUAUUUGGUAUUUUGGUGCAUGUCUUCCCCCGGCCCAGGUAAGAAGCCAUACUAUUUAUCUGUGACGUGUGCGCUAGCACUGCUGACAACACCCCUUUGGAUCCGUGGCAACUGGCAUCCUUGCAAACCUCCUGAAUAUUUCAAGCCCGUGAGGAAAGCAUCUUGGUGGUGGCUACAACGAUUUCCCCAUCAUGUCAUCCCUCUCUCUAUGUGCUUCUCUCCAUGGACAGCAUCGCCAUGGCCAGAUCGAUCAUUAAAGCCCUAGUAUUUUCCCUUGAUUAAGUUCAGAAGAUGCCAUACGGCGGCAGUAGUUUGCCAAAUUACCUGAUGGAUCGAUUCAUGAU